AGGUCGGUGAUGGCCGGAUGAUGAUGACAGAUCCUACAAGAAAUAUCCUUGAUCAAAGGUAACUUCGAUAGGGAUCAUUCGAUACUCAAGUCAGAAAUCCAACAACAAAAGAAAAGGAGUGCAGAGAGGAGAUUUCAUUCCUUAAGAGUCUCUUGUAGGUCUUUAUUUAUAGGUGGAGGCUGAAAAGCCAUAAGAAAAAAGAGAAUCAUGUGGUUGGCCUUGAUUUAUCUGGAGAGCUUUGGCCAUUAUUCUUUCCUUAUCUUGAGAGAUUUUAGUUGUUAUAUUU
rnacentral:lncRNA from 1 species